AGGUGAACCUGCGGAAGGAUCAUUACCGAUUUUAGCGGACCUGAUCUUUGAUCAUGGUCUCGCGAAAACUUGUAUUUAAAACCCCACUCUUAUAAAUUGAAUCAUUUUUAUAUGUAUAUAAUAAAUAAAGAUCACUUUCAACAACGGAUCUCUUGGCUCUCG
rnacentral:misc_RNA from 1 species